rnacentral:rRNA from 1 species
AGUGAACGCUGGCGGUAGGCCUAACACAUGCAAGUCGAACGGCAGCACAGAGGAGCUUGCUCCUUGGGUGGCGAGUGGCGGACGGGUGAGGAAUACAUCGGAAUCUACUCUGUCGUGGGGGAUAACGUAGGGAAACUUACGCUAAUACCGCAUACGACCUACGGGUGAAAGCAGGGGAUCUUCGGACCUUGCGCGAUUGAGUGAGCCGAUGUCGGAUUAGCUAGUUGGCGGGGUAAAGGCCCACCAAGGCGACGAUCCGUAGCUGGUCUGAGAGGAUGAUCAGCCACACUGGAACUGAGACACGGUCCAGACUCCUACGCGAGGCAGCAGUGGGGAAUAUUGGACAAUGGGCGCAAGCCUGAUCCAGCCAUACCGCGUGGGUGAAGAAGGCCUUCGGGUUGUAAAGCCCUUUUGUUGGGAAAGAAAUCCAUCUGGUUAAUACCCGGGUGGGAUGACGGUACCCAAAGAAUAAGCACCGGCUAACUUCGUGCCAGCAGCCGCCGUAA